UAUAUUGAAACGUACCCGGGGUCUGCUAGCCCGGACACACUUCAAUAUCGACACGUGGGUUCUUCUCAAACACACGUAAAUGGAUAAGGGAAAAUAGGGACACAAGGACUAAAAGAUACGGACACCUGAAAUAAGAUUAACACAACCAUUUAUUAAAUAUACAUUUCACAAACAAUAAAAUUGGUAUAUAGUAUCUUCUAUGGAUGGCUCUGGCUUGGGCUCCUCGUCUUAGGUCAGGAAUAUUCUUCUGUUACGUCUAGAAUAAUGUAUAAUAUAAGAUGUAAUGAGAGGCUUGACAAAUACGGUGUCACGUCUUGCCUGUGGUCUGGUACGAAUUCUAUGGUAGGAUUUACCAUGAAAUGCUAUAAGGUUGAUGGGGUAUCUAAAAUGGUAACUACAAAAUACAGUGGUGUUCUACCCUGGUAUAUGGGUAUCGCUAUAAAAUAUGGGGUUAUGGCUAUGGAAACUUGGUCUACAGUCAGGAUCUAUCAUAAAUGGAAAAUAAUGCCAAACUAGGUGAUUUAAUAUAAAACUUCUAUAUAAACUAUUACUGGCACAAAGUAUUAUAUACCUUUCUGGUGGCUGGAGAUACAUCCAUAUUCAAUAAUGUAUAGAUGUGGUCUGGUGGCUAUCUACCAAGGUACUGACAAUUUUGGCAGAUUCGGGCUGCUAUUUAUAGUCUGGGACGCUGGGUGGCUAGCUUGGCUAGGGUGCCUAGCUUGGCAGUAUCGUCAUCGUCUCCGAUGACGUCACUGCCUAGCUCGCGCGGGCAGAAAUUUAGCCAGUGCCAGCUGCCAUGUUUAAAUUGGCAGCGUGUGGCUAAUUGAACAUUAAAACGGCUACAACGUAGAAAAUAAGUUAUUUUAAGUAAUAUAACCAUCGUAAAUAUUAAAAGGAUGAAGUUAUCUGUACAUGUAGUGUAUGUUUUGAUGAUUAAAAGUUGAUGUCAUGAAGUACAGUUAAUUACUUCAGUACUUGAGUAGUUUCCGGAUACGGGUUUAUUUUCGGACGUAAAAUGAUGGGCCUGAUCGUUACAUUGCACCCCGCUCACAUGGAUUCAGCCCCUGAAUAGUAGGAAGUGAAUAGAGAGCUUGGGUGUAUUGGUUAGUUGGUCACCUGGAGAAAGCGGUUAUUACCAACUGCUCAUCUAAACAGAAGUAUACUUCAUUACAUCCUCAGCCUAAAAUACACUCCUUACAGUGGGACACUGCACAAUCAUGGCUGGUUUGUCAUAUUACGGGAAAAAGGACCACUCUGAUGUGCAAGCAGAGGAACGAUGGUGUCCACCUGAAGUCAAUAUUUUUGAACAACAGGGAGCGGGUUAAAAUGUCCACCAGAUGAACAGGCAGUUGAGUAAACAGCUGUUCAAAUGGGAGCAGGAAGGGGGUCCACCUGAAACUCAUCAAUGUAAAGGGUUGAUUUGUAACAAGGAGCGGUGUAUUUGGAAUUCCAUGUCUUCAUUUUUGUUAAAUAUUCAUCAGCUGGAUUGGUAAGAAUAGGUUGGCCAGACAAGAAUGCAGUCAGCAAUGGGCAUUCAAAUAAGGCUAUAAUCAUGCAUCCAACCAACAAGUAAACUUGUUUGAUUGAAUGGUCAGCACCUUGGAAGAUCAAAAAUCUGGAUCAGCAAAUGAAAUGAACUAUGAUACAUAAAUAAUAAAAUGUUCUGUCUCUUGGU